rnacentral:rRNA from 1 species
GACGAACGCUGGCGGCGUGCUUAACACAUGCAAGUCGAACGGAAAGGCCCUGCUUUUGUGGGGUGCUCGAGUGGCGAAAGGGUGAGUAACAAGUGAGUAACCUGCCCUUGACUUUGGGAUAACUUCAGGAAACUGGGGCUAAUACCGGAUAGGAGCUACUGCUGCAUGGUGGGGGUUGGAAAGUUUCGGCGGUUGGGGAUGGACUCGCGGCUUAUCAGCUUGGUGGUGGGGUAGUGGCUUACCAAGGCUUUGACGGGUAGCCGGCCUGAGAGGGUGACCGGCCACAUUGGGACUGAGAUACGGCCCAGACUCCUACGGGAGGCAGCAGUGGGGAAUAUUGCACAAUGGGCGGAAGCCUGAUGCAGCAACGCCGCGUGCGGGAUGACGGCCUUCGGGUUGUAAACCGCUUUCGCCUGUGACGAAGCGUGAGUGACGGUAAUGGGUAAAGAAGCACCGGCUAACUACGUG